CAACAAUGACUACUUAAUAUAUAGAUGUCAGCAAGUGGAAUGUAAGGCAACCAUCAUCAUCACUUUCGCUAUCAAAUUCCCAUUUGACCAGUCGUAUCUCCCCUUAUCCCAAUCAUUUAGCUAAAGUGCUAAGCUUUUACUGUUACUAAUAAAUGGUCAAUAUAUGCAGAGAACUCCACAAACAUGCCAUCAGUAAUGUGGAUUAAAAACAUAUUCAUCUGUCAGGCUCAAUAUUGUCUUUCUCCCCCAUGGUACAACUUGAUUGCAGCACAGCAUAGACAACAAGGAUAAAAUGCAACAAGUUGGGUUCUGAUGAGGACUAGUUGCAGCCUAGAGGACACACUUCAGGUGUUCUUCACAAGGGUUUGUCUUACAAGUUACUCAUUGAAGUUAACACAUGAUUGAUCCGACCAUGUGAUUUACCAAUGAAUUCUUGAUAGUCCUUUGGAAGACAACACCAUGUGGUUCACCAUGAACCUAUGUCUUUCUCAUUACCGAUCAGACCUCAGCAAUAUGUCCCUUCACCAUUCAUUCCCUUUGGCCCCCUUACAUCUAUAUAUACAAGUAUGAUUAUGUUCAUAUGCAGCACAUAUCUUCACAUCCUCAAAGUACUACAGUUCUCGGAGAUCUUCUUCUACCCUUUUGAAGCAUACUCCAUCGAAAAACAACCAUGGCUAUCCGCUUGCCUCGUAUCGUUGGUUCUAAGAAAGUUCCCAAGGGCUACUUUGCAGUUUAUGUUGGAGAAAACCAGAAGAGGUUCGUGAUACCAGUGUCGUUCUUGAGCCAGCCUUUAUUCCAAGAUUUGCUUGGCAUGUCACAAGAAGAGUAUGGAUAUAGUCAUCCUACAGGCGGUCUCACAAUUCCCUGCAACGAAGACAUUUUUCUCGAUGUUACCUCUUGUUUGAAUUGAUUGUGAGAGAAUCAACACAAAUCAGCCUAUACAAUUUUGUAAAGCAAAAAUCACUAACACCACGUAAACAUUUUUUCCUCCAUCCUUUUUGCCUUGGGGAGCAGAUACAAGUCUCCCUAAGUGAAAAAUUAGAGAUGGUGAUUACUGUAACUUCUAUCAAUCAGUAUGGAAAAUGACAAUUCAAAACGCAUCAAUAAAAUGGAAUUUUAUUUACUUCCAGAAUUUCCUAUCUUUAAAUUAACUGUAAAUGAUCUACCUUGUUCUAAGUUAUUCGGACUCUUCAUUUUCAUUAGAAUACAUGCAUCCAACACAAAUUCAAACAUGAGUCCAAAAUAGCAUGAUUCUCCAAAUAUAUGAAAAAACAUAGAAAAUGUAUUCAACAUUCAAGCACUAGCCCGAGUAACAUAGACUAUAAUAAUGAGUAGUCUUAUAUCCCCUUAUUGCAAUCUUUUAGCCAAAGAGUUAAAGCUUCGUUCUUUUCUCAAGUAGGAAUUAGUCUUUAUAUAUAAUAAUGAAUAGUCAAAAUAUGCAGAGAACACUUAACAAACAUGCCAUCAAACAAGUGGACUAAAAACAGGUUCAUCUGCAAGGUCAUCCAUAUAUAGCAGCACAUACCAGAAAUCUAGUGAGCUGUCAAGCUGAAUAUUGUUUUCAACUCCAUAGAACUAUUUGAUUGCAGCACGGCUAGUCAACAACAAGGAUAAAAUGCAAAUAGUUGGGUUCUGAUGAGGACUAGUUGCAACCUGUAGGACACACUUAAAGUGCUCUUCACAAGGGUUUGUCUUACAAGAUCCAUACCUUAUUAAAAUCAACAUGCUUGGUGAGGUCACCCAUGUUACAUGUUUCCUGUCAUUUUCUGAUAGAUUAUAUGUCUCUAAAGUAGGCACUGGCAUAAAUGGUGAAGUGGUACAACUCUCCUAUUGUAAAGAAGAAUUUUACUGGCCCAGAUCUUUCAUUCGACCAGUCCUUGGUCGGUUUCUAUUGCCAUAAGGGAUAGGCAAACUAAUUUUUCAAAGCCUUUCCCGUGGAAUUCUUUAUAAUGAGUUACAAGACAGCACCAUGUGAUCCUCCCCUAAUGAAGCCAUGUCUUUCUUAUUAGUUAUCAGACCCCAGAAAUUUCCCCUUCACCACUCAUUGAACAUCCCUACUCAACACAGGAACAUGAUUUUUUCUGUCUACCCCUUUCAUCUAUAUAUACAAAGAAGAAUAUGUUCAUUGGCAACACCUAUCUUCACAUUCUCAAAGUACUACAGUUCUCUGAGAUCUUCCUCUUCUUCCUUUUUAGAAGCAUUCAUCUAUCAAAAAUAACAAUGGCUAUCUGCAUGCCUCGUAUCAUUAGCUCUAAGAAAGUUCCCAAGGGCUACUUUGCAGUUUACGUUGGAGAAAACCAGAAGAGGUUCGUGAUACCAGUGUCAUUCUUGAACCAGCCUUUAUUUCAAGAUUUGCUUGGCAUGUCAGAACAAGAGUUCGGAUAUAGUCCUCUUACUGGCGGUAUCACAAUUCCCUGCAACGAAGAUAUCUUUCUCGUUGUCACCUCUCGAUUCAACUGAUUUGUGAGAGAUUUAACACAAAUCAACCCAUACAUUUUUGUAAAGCAAACAAAACUAACACUAUGUAAACACCUUUUUCCCAUCCUUUUCUGCCUUGGGGAGCAAAUACAAGUCUCCCUAAGUGGAAAGUUAGAAAUGGUUGUUACUGUAACUUCUAUCAAUCAGUACAAAAGAUGGCAGUUCGAAACACAUUGUUCAUUUCAAAUUUUAUUUCUUUUCAGAGUUUCCCCUGUUAUUGUUAGUUUCAUCUUUAUUUUUACUGUAAAUGAUCUACAUUGUUCAAAAUUUACUUCAACCAACAUGCUCAGUUAUAUAGACUCUUCAUUUUUCUUAAAGCAUCUGUUCUAACUUCUAACACCUAUAUCCAACACAUAUUUGGCUGUAAGUAUGAGAGUAUGAUCCUCCAAAUAUAUAAAAGAUUUUGACCUUGAAGAAAAGUGUCGUUUCCCCAAUUUUUAGUUGUGUUUCAACAGCAAAGAAAGAUAAAAUCUUGCUGUUUUUUAUAUUUAUUUUCUUAGUCGAGUCUACAUAGAAUGUCAAGGUAGUCCAUACUUGCUUCCUUCUGGUCAUUGUAUAACACAUUACAUGUCUCAAGCUUGCCUCUAAAAUCAAGAUAAAAUCAUUUGUAGUUGGACUCUUCAUUUUCUUCAAAAUACAAGUGUCUGGCACAAAUUCAAACACGAAUAUAAAGUAUAUGAUCCUCCAAAUAUAAGAAGAAAAAAAAAACUUAGAAAAAUUCGAGAACACCCGUAAAUACUCAAGCUCAAGUCCUGGUAACAUAGACUACAAGUAUUCUUUUUUGCAUAUUAGUAAGGUUAUUAAAUGAUCAAUUUUAUUUCAUAAAUUUCAAAGUAAUUUUCUUAAUGCAGAUUUGACAAAGAAUUAAUACCUAUGUCUCACUGUUCUUCAAAAGCCAGAAAUCAAUUUUUAACUAUAUAGACAAAGUGACUUGAAAUUAUAUAUGCAGAGAACUCAACAAUAUCAGUAAUGUGGAUUAAAAACAGAUUCAUCUCUAUGGUUAUUCAUAUCUAUAUAUAGCACAACAUACCAGAAAAUUUUGGUUAGCUGUCAAGGCUUAAUAUUGUAAUGGAACAAUUUGAUUGUAGCAUGGCAUAGACAACAACCAGAAUAAAAUGCAACCAAUUGGGGUUCCGAUGAGGACUAGUUGUAGCAUGUCCACACACUUAAGGCGCUCUUCAGAAGGGCUUGUCUUACAAGUUACUCACCAAAGGAAGACAUGAGUGUAAUAGGAGAGGUCAAGGUCACCCAUGUUAUAUGUUUCCUGUCAUUGUCUGACAGAUUAUAUGUCUCAAAUGUAGCCUGAAAUAAACGGCAAAGCAGUCUGUCCUUAGUCGGUUAUUCUUUCAAGCCUUAGCCAUGGAAUUCUUUAUCAUCCUUUGGAAGACAACACCAUGUGAUUCCCCAUGAACCCAUGUCUUUCUCAUUACGGAUCAGACCCCAUCAAUUGCACCUUCACCACUCAUUCCAUAUCCCCCCUUAAUAGUAGAUGAACAUGAUUUCCUCUCUGCCCCUUACAUCUAUAUAUACAAGUAAGAUUAAGUUCAUUGCCAACACCUACCUUCAACAUUCUCAAGCUUGCUUCCCCAAGUUAUCUGAAACCUUCCCUCUUCUUCCUUUUUCAAAGCAUACAUCUAUCGGAAAACAACAAUGGCUAUCCGCUUGCCUCGUAUCGUUAGCUCUAAGAAAGUUCCCAAGAGCUACUUUGCAGUUUAUGUCGGAGAAAACCAGAAGAGGUUCGUGAUACCGGUGUCGUUCUUAAACCAGCCUUCAUUUCAAGAUUUGCUAGGCAUGUCACAAGAAGAGUUCGGAUAUAGUCAUCCUACUGGCGGUCUCCCGAUUCCCUGCAAUGAAGACACCUUUCUCGAAGUUACCUCUCGCUUGUAAUAAUUGUGAGAUGAUUAACACAAAUCAGGCAAUAUAAUUUUGUAAAGCAAAAAUCACUAAUACAUGUAAACAUUUUUUUCUCCAUCCUUUUGGCCUUGGGGAGCUGAUAUAAGUCUCCCCAAGUGGAGAACUAGAGAAGGUGAUUAGUGUAACACUCCCAUCCAUCAGUAAUGAUAGUUCAAAACACAUCAUUCAAUUGUCAUUUUAUUUCCUUUCUGAAUUUUUUACUUGUUCGCGUUAAUUCAUCUUUAAUAUAAACUGUAAAUGAUCUACUUUGUUCUAAAAUUACUUUCAAACGUGAGUACAUGCUAAGUUAUUUGGAGUUGGACCCUUUAUUUUCGUUCAAUUUCAUGUGUCCAACACAUAUUCAAACAUGAGUACAAAGUCUAGUUAAGAUAGAUCACAAGUUUUCUUUUGCAUGGUAGUAGCUUAUUAAACGAUCAAUUUCGUGUUAUAAUUUUCAAAGUAAUUUUCUUAAUGUAGAUUUGCCCAAGAAUUAAGAUAUAUAAAGAUUUGAGGCAGGGGACUAAGUGAUUAAUAAAACGAACCUAAGGACAAAAGAUUUUAAAGGAAAAAAGAGAAAAGUAAAAGAGAGAUAAGUUCAUGAUACAUGCUGAUUAGUUUUAUCAGAAAGUAAACUUGCCUAAUAUGGACGUCUUUCCCACAUCAUUCUUUUUACUUACUUGGUUCUAUGAAAUAUGGUUAAUCGACAUUGCUCAAAUUCAAGAAAAUUUUCAAGUACUCUAAACUCCAAUCAUGUAUAUGGAGACAAAUAUACAAAUGACGGAAUGUAACAUCAAAUAGCAGAUUUUUUAUCCAAAAGGUAACGUCAAAUAUGUUCACACUAAGCAUAUUACUAUCCAAAAGGUGACAGCAGCUGCAUAAAUAACCAAAGGCCAUCUUGUUGUUUAUGUAGGUGAAUCCCAAAAGAGGCUGGUUUAUAAUUCCUGUUUCAUUCUUAAAGCACCCUUCAUUUCAAGAACUGAUAAAGUAGACUGAAGAGGAGUUUGGCUUUGAAUCAUCCAAGGGGUAGUCUCACAGUCCCAUGUGCAGAAGAAGCCUUCAUUGAACUUUCUUGUAGUUUGAAAAGCUUUCUCACUUUGACCUGACAUCUUAUCUCCCCAAUAUAAUAAUGAAUAGUAAAAAAUGUGCAGAGAACAGAACAAACAUACCACCAGAAAUGUGGACUAAAAACAGACUUAUUUGUAAUGGUAUCCAUAUAUAUAUAUAGCAGCACAUACCAGAAAUUUAGUGAGCUGUCAAGCUGAAUAUUGUCUUCACCCCUGUAGAACUAUAUGAUUGCAGCACGGCAUAGACAACAAACCUGGAUAAAAUGCAACAAGUUGGGUUCAGAUGAGGAGUUGUUGUAGCCUGUAGGACGCACUUUAGGCGCUCUUCACAAUGGAUUGUCUUGCAAGUUUUAUGUGAAGUCUGUACGAAAUAGGAGGUCAACGUCACCCAUGUUACUUGUUCCCUAUCAUUGCAUGACAGAUUGUAUGUCUCUAAAGGUUGGCUCUAACGUCAAUGGUGAAGUAAUAAAAAUCAUCUACUAGGAAGAAGCUUUUAUGAAUCCGAAUCUUCCAUAUCUGAGUAGGUCCUUAGUCGGUUCAUUUUCCCGGCAAGGUAGGGAAACUAUUCUUUCAAGUCUUAGCCAUGGAAUUCUUGAUAAUGCUUUGGAAGACAACACCAUGUGAUUCCCCGUAUACCCAUGUCUUUCUAUUUACUGAUCAGACCCCAGCAAUUGCACCUUCACCACUCAUUCCACAUCCCCCACUUAAUAAUAGAUGAACAUCAUUUCCUCUCUGCCCUACACAUCUAUAUAUACAAGUAAGAGUAAGUUCAUUGGCAACACCUCCCUUCAACAUUCUCAAGCUUGCUUUCCAAGUUAUCUGAUAUCUUCC
rnacentral:lncRNA from 1 species